rnacentral:rRNA from 1 species
UACAGAGGGUGCAAGCGUUGUUCGGAAUUACUGGGCGUAAAGCGCGUGUAGGUGGCGAUGUAAGUCGGGUGUGAAAUCCCUUGGCUUAACCAAGGAAGUGCAUUCGAUACUGUGUCGCUUGAGUGUUGGAGGGGGUGGCGGAAUUCCCGGUGUAGAGGUGAAAUUCGUAGAUAUCGGGGAGGAACACCUGUGGCGAAGGCGGCCACCUGGACAACUACUGACACUGAGACGCGAAAGCGUGGGGAGCAAACAGG